rnacentral:misc_RNA from 1 species
CACUUCAGCAGUGGCUCCUCGCAGACACUGAAGGAGAGCACGACAUUGCUCACAUUGCUUCCAGUAUUAUUUUAGCCAGCCUACGUGCUGGCUUUUU